UGGUUACCCUCUUCAUCGCAUAAAACAAUAAUAUCAAAAUAACUGAAUUCAUUUGGAGCUAUGGAAGCAAUUUUCUCCUUUAAUUUGGUUAGAGAGCCUAAAAUAAAAGACACAUCCCAGUCUGGAUUUCUUUCUGCAAAAUGUUUGUGUAAUUUUUCGUCUUGUUCCAUACCUUCCACAAUAAAUAUUUUCCUUUUAUCUGUUUUUCCUUCCGAUGGAUUAUUUUUCAUAAAAUUGCUUUCCAAAUCGAAUUUUUUAGCAAUGAAGAUAUUGAACAUUUCAUCGUGUCUGAAGAAAGCUUCUAUGAAUCCAUGCAAGAACUUUAUUUUCAAUAUUCUAAGGACUGGUUUGCGAAUCUUAGCAUCCCUAAAACUCACGGGUUUUGUGUCGGAAUGAAAAACAUAACCACUAUCAUCAUUCCCAUCAACAAUAAUCAAAAAAGUGAUGAUGCUUGGUGGAAACUCCGGUAAGAGUUCUUUUUCAAUACGAGGCAAAAUUGUUUUCAGACUUUCAUUAGUAAUAUAAUUAUAGUCUUCAUCGCAUAAAACAAUAAUAUCAAAAUAACUGAACUUAUUCUCUGGUACGGAACCAAUUACCUCCUUUAAUUUGUUUAUAGAACCUAAA